GUGUGUGUGUCAGGAUUAAGGGUUCUUCUGGUGUGUGGGGCAUGGCCAUUGUGUGUGCAGGUGUGUGUGUGUGUGUGUGUGUGUGUGUGUGUGUGUGUGUGUGUCAGGAUUAAGGGUUCUGCUGGUGUGUGGGUCAUGCCUGGGCCAUGGUUAGUGUCUGGGUCAGGAUUAAGGGUUCUGCUGGUGUGUGGGUCAUGCCUGGGCCAUGGUUAGUGUGUGGGUCAGGAUUAAGGGUUCUGCUGGUGUAUGCACUGGGGUGAAAAGGUGUCCAAAUUGGGUGACAGGGGGCAUCAAGAUCUGUGGGUUGGUUUCCCUUGGGCUACAGGCAGGAGUGGGGGUGGUAGUAUUGAAGAGAGGGUAGCCAGCUCUUGCAGAGUUCAUAAUACUUACAAUGUGGCUUCUUUGGGGGUCCCAGAAUGCAGUGCAGUGGCAAAUGACUCUCGGAGAAUAGAAUGGAGGUCGAGGGGGGUUCAAAGGGUAGGGUUAGUUUAACUUUAUUGGACACUUGGCGUCGGCCUCGUAGGGUGGAACUGUUGUAGUCCUGAUGUAACUGUAGACUGGCAGAAAGAGGCAGGCAGAGACAGAUAGACAACAGAGGCAUUGCGGCGGGCUUUUCAGUGGCACACCAUGGGGGGGGUUAUCAUUGUUACUUUUAGUAGUAGUAGUAGGUCAGGACAUUUUUGGACAAGUUGGGGGAGGAGGAAGGAAAUGGCUUCUUCACUUCCCCUAACCAAACCUUGAGCAAACACUGCAGACCUCUAAACACCUGCUGUAUUAGGAGCUCAGUGUUCUCUGUGCCUCCUCCUCCUCCUCCUCCUCCCCAAAUUAUAAGUAUGGUUUUCGUAGUCAUUAUGAUCAUUAGUGUUAUUAUUAACAGAUUGCUGCCGCUGCUGCAGUGAAGAAGCUCCGCCACGGCUCAGGUCCAGCUGUUACCGGGCCCCCUACCCCCAGGAUGGAGGAGGAAGCAGCCACCUUGUUGGGGGAGAAGCUUGCCACCAGCUGGGACAAGAAGCAGACCUCCAGAAUGGCUUGGACCAUCAGUCACCUCUCCUUGAAGAUGACAACCCCGAGCUGCACGCCAUCAUUCAGAAAGAACAGGUGAGGGCAGCAGUGGCGGGCAAGGUCAAGGGCUUCUGCCAAAACGUUGACCCCAGUGUGCAGGAAACAGCGUCUUGCCCUGCACUAAGGUUUCCCCGUGACCCGCGUGCCUAUUUCAUUGACCAGUGGGGCGAGCAGAGCUUCUGAGAGCCCCCGCCCCAGCCCCGAGACCCGCGGGUCGUGACCCACUGGACUCAAGGUGUGUGUUGAUGCUGGGACCAAGAAGAAGAAGAGGAGGAGGAGAAGGAAGAUGAUGAUAAUGGCAACAGGAAGAUCAGAAGAAGAGGAGGAGGAAGACCAGAAGAAGAACAAGAGGAGGAGGAAGAAUGGGAGUACACACACA